rnacentral:rRNA from 1 species
GGCUGCAACUCGCCUACAUGAAGUCGGAAUUGCUAGUAAUCGCGGAUCAGCAUGCCGCGGUGAAUACGUUCCCGGGCCUUGUACACACCGCCCGUCACACCAUGGGAGUCGGUAACACCCGAAGCCUGUAAUCUAACCGCAAGGGGGACGCAGUCGAAGGUGGGAUUGAUGACUGGGGUGAAGUCGUAACAAGGUACC